rnacentral:rRNA from 1 species
GACGAACGCUGGCGGCGUGCUUAACACAUGCAAGUCGAACGGAAAGGCCCUGCUUUCGUGGGGUUCUCGAGUGGCGAACGGGUGAGUAACACGUGAGUAUCCUGCCCUUGAUUUUGGUAUAACUUCAGGUAACUGGGGCUAAUCUCGGAUAGGAGCUCCUGUUGCAUGGUGGGGGUUGGAACGUUUCGGCGGUUGGGGAUGGACUCGCGGCUUAUCAGCUUGUUGGUGGGGUAGUGGCUUACCCAGGCUUUGACGGUUAGCCGGCCUGAGAGGGUGACCGGGGACAAGGGGACUGCGAGAGGGCCCAGAGUCGUAUGGGAGACAGCAGUGGGGAAUAUUGCACAAUGGGAGGAAGCCUGAUGCAACAACGCCGCGUUCGGGAUGACGUCCUGCGGGUAGAGAAACGCUGUCGCCUGUGACGAAGCGGGAGUGACGGUAAUGGGUAAAGAAGCACCGGCUAACUACGUG